AAGCCUUUGCACAGUCUUAGCUGUUAUGUUGUAUUAUAUUGCCUCCUAGGUUAUGUAUGUAGAAUUUUUGGUCACAUUUAAAUAUUCCCCUUCGAUUCAUAGUGUUAAGAAAUAUACUUAAGCAGCUACGUAUUUACUAGGGAUGAAAAUGUUUCCAAUUCAUAAGCCAGAACACUUUUUUCUUCAGAUAUUUAACACAAAGAAGGGAUGAAGACCAUUUUUUAUUCCCAUCUCCCAUGGUUUCAUAUUUUUAUAAACAUUUCUAGAAUGCUACACAAUAGCAGAUAAUAUUCUGCAACUUUAAUUGAAGGUCAAACAUUUCUUAUAUAUUCUGAUGGUGAGAUGAUAGUGCCUGCGCUAAAACAAUCAGAUGACUCCACUGAGGGAAAGAGCAUUGCAUUAGCAACUCUGGGAGAAAUGUGUUAGUGAAUUAUUUCAUGAAUGCAGUGAGAAUAAAAUGAUUGUCUUAGAGGCCAUAAAUAAAUCCAUUUAAGUUAAAACCCAAGUCUAGGAAUUGAUAUCCACUUUGGCCAAAUUUAACUUUGGGUAAUCUAGCUUAAAAAAAAAAAAUCCAACUUUUCCCUAUAGUAUUUUAAAUAGUCAUUCUAUAUAUUACUCUUUAUUGGGUCUAACUUGGUUGAUAUUAUCUAUGCAGAUAAACUACAACUGUACCCAAAGCCUUUCUGAAUGAAGAUUUAUCAUCCUGAGGAGAAAAACCAAAGGCCACUAGGAAAUGAGGGUGUACAACACCCUUCCAGAGCCAACUUCAACAAACUCAAAUUUAUGUACAUCCUAAUCUAAAAUUUUUCUUUUCCUACAUAUAAAGGAAAUUAAAUAAAAAACCUGUCCGUUUCAGUUACA
rnacentral:lncRNA from 1 species